rnacentral:rRNA from 1 species
UUAAGCGACUAAGCGUACACGGUGGAUGCCCUGGCAGUCAGAGGCGAUGAAGGACGUGCUAAUCUGCGAAAAGCGUCGGUAAGGUGAUAUGAACCGUUAUAACCGGCGAUGUCCGAAUGGGGAAACCCAGUGCAAUUCGUUGCACUAUCGUUAACUGAAUACAUAGGUUAACGAGGCGAACCGGGGGAACUGAAACAUCUAAGUACCCCGAGGAAAAGAAAUCAACCGAGAUUCCCCCAGUAGCGGCGAGCGAACGGGGAGCAGCCCAGAGUCUGAAUCAGCUUGUGUGUUAGUGGAACGGUCUGGAAAGUCCGACGGUACAGGGUGAUAGUCCCGUACACCAAAAUGCACAGGCUGUGAACUCGAAGAGUAGGGCGGGACACGUGGUAUCCUGUCUGAAUAUGGGGGGACCAUCCUCCAAGGCUAAAUACUCCUGACUGACCGAUAGUGAACCAGUACCGUGAGGGAAAGGCGAAAAGAACCCCGGCGAGGGGAGUGAAAAAGAACCUGAAACCGUGUACGUACAAGCAGUGGGAGCACCUUCGGGUGUGACUGCGUACCUUUUGUAUAAUGGGUCAGCGACUUAUAUUCUGUAGCAAGGUUAACCGUAUAGGGGAGCCGCAGGGAAACCGAGUCUUAACUGGGCGUUAAGUUGCAGGGUAUAGACCCGAAACCCGGUGAUCUAGCCAUGGGCAGGUUGAAGGUUGGGUAACACUAACUGGAGGACCGAACCGACUAAUGUUGAAAAAUUAGCGGAUGACUUGUGGCUGGGGGUGAAAGGCCAAUCAAACCGGGAGAUAGCUGGUUCUCCCCGAAAGCUAUUUAGGUAGCGCCUCGUGAACUCAUCUUCGGGGGUAGAGCACUGUUUCGGCUAGGGGGUCAUCCCGACUUACCAACCCGAUGCAAACUACGAAUACCGAAGAAUGUUAUCACGGGAGACACACGGCGGGUGCUAACGUCCGUCGUGAAGAGGGAAACAACCCAGACCGCCAGCUAAGGUCCCAAAGUCAUGGUUAAGUGGGAAACGAUGUGGGAAGGCACAGACAGCCAGGAUGUUGGCUUAGAAGCAGCCAUCAUUUAAAGAAAGCGUAAUAGCUCACUGGUCGAGUCGGCCUGCGCGGAAGAUGUAACGGGGCUAAACCAUGCACCGAAGCUGCGGCAGCGACACUAUGUGUUGUUGGGUAGGGGAGCGUUCUGUAAGCCUGCGAAGGUGUGCUGUGAGGCAUGCUGGAGGUAUCAGAAGUGCGAAUGCUGACAUAAGUAACGAUAAAGCGGGUGAAAAGCCCGCUCGCCGGAAGACCAAGGGUUCCUGUCCAACGUUAAUCGGGGCAGGGUGAGUCGACCCCUAAGGCGAGGCCGAAAGGCGUAGUCGAUGGGAAACAGGUUAAUAUUCCUGUACUUGGUGUUACUGCGAAGGGGGGACGGAGAAGGCUAUGUUAGCCGGGCGACGGUUGUCCCGGUUUAAGCAUGUAGGCUGGUUGUCCAGGCAAAUCCGGAUAAUCAAGGCUGAGGUGUGAUGACGAGGCACUACGGUGCUGAAGUAACAAAUGCCCUGCUUCCAGGAAAAGCCUCUAAGCAUCAGGUAACAUCAAAUCGUACCCCAAACCGACACAGGUGGUCAGGUAGAGAAUACCAAGGCGCUUGAGAGAACUCGGGUGAAGGAACUAGGCAAAAUGGUGCCGUAACUUCGGGAGAAGGCACGCUGGUGUGUAGGUGAAGCCCCUGCGGGUGGAGCUGAGACCAGUCGAAGAUACCAGCUGGCUGCAACUGUUUAUUAAAAACACAGCACUGUGCAAACACGAAAGUGGACGUAUACGGUGUGACGCCUGCCCGGUGCCGGAAGGUUAAUUGAUGGGGUUAUCCGUAAGGAGAAGCUCUUGAUCGAAGCCCCGGUAAACGGCGGCCGUAACUAUAACGGUCCUAAGGUAGCGAAAUUCCUUGUCGGGUAAGUUCCGACCUGCACGAAUGGCGUAAUGAUGGCCAGGCUGUCUCCACCCGAGACUCAGUGAAAUUGAACUCGCUGUGAAGAUGCAGUGUACCCGCGGCAAGACGGAAAGACCCCGUGAACCUUUACUAUAGCUUGACACUGAACAUUGAGCCUUGAUGUGUAGGAUAGGUGGGAGGCUUUGAAGCGUGGACGCCAGUCUGCGUGGAGCCAACCUUGAAAUACCACCCUUUAAUGUUUGAUGUUCUAACGUUGGCCCCUUACCGGGGUUGCGGACAGUGUCUGGUGGGUAGUUUGACUGGGGCGGUCUCCUCCCAAAGCGUAACGGAGGAGCACGAAGGUUAGCUAAUCCUGGUCGGACAUCAGGAGGUUAGUGCAAUGGCAUAAGCUAGCUUGACUGCGAGCGUGACGGCGCGAGCAGGUGCGAAAGCAGGUCAUAGUGAUCCGGUGGUUCUGAAUGGAAGGGCCAUCGCUCAACGGAUAAAAGGUACUCCGGGGAUAACAGGCUGAUACCGCCCAAGAGUUCAUAUCGACGGCGGUGUUUGGCACCUCGAUGUCGGCUCAUCACAUCCUGGGGCUGAAGUAGGUCCCAAGGGUAUGGCUGUUCGCCAUUUAAAGUGGUACGCGAGCUGGGUUUAGAACGUCGUGAGACAGUUCGGUCCCUAUCUGCCGUGGGCGCUGGAGAAUUGAGGGGGGCUGCUCCUAGUACGAGAGGACCGGAGUGGACGCAUCACUGGUGUUCGGGUUGUCAUGCCAAUGGCACUGCCCGGUAGCUAAAUGCGGAAGAGAUAAGUGCUGAAAGCAUCUAAGCACGAAACUUGCCCCGAGAUGAGUUCUCCCUGAGACUUUAAGUCUCCUGAAGGAACGUUAAAGACGAUGACGUUGAUAGGCCGGGUGUGUAAGCGCAGCGAUGCGUUGAGCUAACCGGUACUAAUGAACCGUGAGGCUUAACCU